AGCACCGCGCAAGGGGGCGGGGCGGGAGCUCCCAGGAGACCCCGCGCGUGUGACAUUCCCGGCGCAGACUCGAGUGUACGGUUGCGAUCGAACGGGUGGGCCUGGGCCGGCCGGGCCUGGGGCCUUCUGUGUCUGCGCGAUCGCCUCCUGGCAAAGAAGGCCACAUAGUGAGGAGAGGACGGUCCUCAGAAAGAGAGAGACUCGCGCCUGACGGUCAACUGGGCGAGCGGACACCGGGCACAGAAAGGGGCCGUGGGGAAGUCCCAGUAGAUGAAUCCUACACCAGCUGUUGCCUAGCCUGCCACACGGCUCUCAAAGAACCUUUUCUCUCUACUUUGCUGAAGUGA
rnacentral:lncRNA from 1 species